rnacentral:tRNA from 1 species
GUGGGUAUAGCUCAGUGGCAUAGUGCAUGCUUAGCAUGCAAGAGGUCCGGGUUCAAUCCCCAGUACCUCUG